rnacentral:rRNA from 1 species
UUGAACGCUGGCGGCAUGCCUUACACAUGCAAGUCGAACGGCAGCACGGGAGCAAUCCUGGUGGCGAGUGGCGAACGGGUGAGUAAUAUAUCGGAACGUGCCCGGUCUGGGGGAUAACGGUAGCGAAAGCUACGCUAAUACCGCAUACGAUCUACGGAUGAAAGCGGGGGAUCGCAAGACCUCGCGCGAUUGGAGCGGCCGAUAUCAGAUUAGGUAGUUGGUGAGGUAAAGGCUCACCAAGCCGACGAUCUGUAGCUGGUCUGAGAGGACGACCAGCCACACUGGGACUGAGACACGGCCCAGACUCCUACGGGAGGCAGCAGUGGGAAUUUUGGACAAUGGGCGCAAGCCUGAUCCAGCAAUGCCGCGUGCAGGAUGAAGGCCUUCGGGUUGUAAGCUGCUUUGUACGGAACGAAACGGUGAGCUCUAAUACAGUUUGCUAAUGACGGUACCGUAAGAAUAAGCACCAGCUAACUACGUG